UGGGGCAUCGUCUAACGGUAGGACGACGGACUCUGAAUUCGUUAGUCGUGGUUCGAAUCCACGUGCCCCAACCA
rnacentral:tRNA from 2 species